AAUGUCCCUCCUCCUUAAAAUUGAUAUCAGUUCAUUAGGUUUUUCCCUUGGACCUCCUCCACUCAAAUCUCUAUGGACCCACACUUACUCCUAUGUCAGAUUUUUUUUAUCGCUAAAAUUUUCAGUGACGUCUCAUUUCCCUCAAGUGUGUUCUUAAAAUAUCAAAUUUUGCAGCAAAUUUCAGAGAGGAAUAAGAAACGCCAAUGAGUUUAAAUUUCAAGCACAUAAUAUUUCAGAAUUCCUUUUGGGAUUGACUAUUGCUUGGUACAGUGCUACCUGUUUGAUUGACUGAGAGUUUGACACAAGCUUUUUGCAGUAUGAAGAUAAGUUCGUGGAAAGCGGAAAGAAAGAUAUUGUCAAAUGAAGCAGCCUAUAGGGAAAAUGAUACAGAGAUCCAGUUGGUGAAGGAAGGUGUUUUAAGGCAAUUUCAUCAAUAAAGCUAUAAAGUUGGGACGAACAUCUCAAAAUUUGUUCUGCUUAAAACAAGUGAAGCGCACAAGAUAGGAGAAAAAAAUUAUGAUUAAAUUACAAUUUAUUUUUCAAGAUAGUCAAAUCAUUGUCAUAAAUUGAUUAUAUUUGUGCAAAAUAUUUGUCCUGAGUUGUCUUCUGAUUAAUA